GCCUGGCUAGCUCAAUCGGUAGAGCGUGAGACUCUUAUUCAGAGGUGAUCUCAAGGCUGUGGGUUCAAGCCCCACGUCGGGCU
rnacentral:tRNA from 2 species